GAUGGUUUUGAAGGGAUAUCGUGGUAGUAAACGGCACCCGUAAGUGAGUUGGUUUCAUUCCCAAAGCCUGAAGAAACGGUACACAUUACAGGUAACGUCUUCGAACUAGAGGGAAUAGCUGGUGUCACAAAACUUGCAGGUGUUGUGGACCCUGAAGCACUGGGUAGUUUUUUAGAGCUGCAAGGAAUGGCCGUUGUUGUACAGCUGGCAGGUAUGGCUGGUGUGGUGGAGCUUAAACAUAUGGCUGGCGUCUUCGAAGCACGAAAUAUGGCUGGUGUUUUACGUCUUGAACGUUUGGUUGAUGUCUUCGAACGAGA